UUGACCACACAGUCACCACCACCAUUGACGACACAGUCACCACCACAAUUGACGACACAGUCACCACCACAAUUGACGACACAGUCACCACCACCAUUGACGACACAGUCACCACCAACAUUGACGUCCCAGUCACCGCCACUGAGCUUAGCAAAGGAUAAAAUUGCUAACGGAAUAAAUGGUUUCAACGAGGACUGGUGUGGAGAUUCAGCACUGCCUUUAGCCCCGUUAGUGAGUGGCGGUUCGGCGAAGUCUCCAGUAUGUCUGACCUUCUGAGGAAGUCAACACAGUUGAGCACAAGAUGGAGGGCGUUCCACUGCCGUCCAUGUGCACAGCCAGAGACAUAUCCCUCCUCUCAGUCUUGAAACUCUAGGAGCAACACACAACCUUAGUGUAGCUAACAGAGGUUAGGUACUGGUGUCUAAUUUGAUUCAGGUUUUGAUGUUACAUUUAUUUUUUUUAUUGGAAAAGACUGUCCCAUGUUAUAUUGAGGUUGAAGAGUAAGAGCCUUUAAUGUAAAACCUUCUCGACACAGUUCCAGUGGCGGUAAAAUUGGACCUGAAUUUUGCACUCUUAAACCCAUUUUCAAUUUACUGAAAUCAUCCUCCAUGAAAUGAAUCUGAAGGGCAAGUCUGCUCUCUGUGUGGGUUGGACCAGAAAGGGACCACAACACACAAACUAAAACAAAGCGAGAGAAGACACACAAGGUCCUAAUGGACAUUUCCCAACGAUGCAUGUGAUUCUGUUGCCAUUUAAUACAAAUAGUCUUUAA